GAUGAACGCUAGCUACAGGCUUUAACACAUGCAAGUCGAACGAAGCACUUUGGACAGAUUCCUCGGAUGAAGUCCUUAGUGACUGAGUGGCGGACGGGUGAGUAACGCGUGGGUAACCUGCCUCAUACAGGGGAUAACAGUUAGAAAUGGCUGCUAAUACCGCAUAAGCGCACGGUACUGCAUGGUACAGUGUGAAAAACUCCGGUGGUAUGAGAUGGACCCGCGUUGAUAG
rnacentral:rRNA from 1 species